rnacentral:rRNA from 1 species
AACGAACGUUAGCGGCGCGCCUAACACAUGCAAGUCGCACGAGAAAGGGCUUCGGCUCCGGUAAAGUGGCGCACGGGUGAGUAACACGUGGGUAACCUGCCCUCGAGCGGGGGAUAACAUUCCGAAAGGAGUGCUAAUACCGCAUAAGACCACGACCUCGAAAGAGGAUGGGGUCAAAGCUGGCCUCCAUACAUAAGCUAGCACUUGAGGAUGGGCCCGCGGCGCAUCAGCUAGUUGGUGAGGUAACGGCUCACCAAGGCGAAGACGCGUAGCUGGUCUGAGAGGAUGAUCAGCCACACUGGAACUGAGACACGGUCCAGACUCCUACGGGAGGCAGCAGUGGGGAAUCUUGCGCAAUGGGCGAAAGCCUGACGCAGCGACGCCGCGUGAGUGAUGAAGGCCUUCGGGUUGUAAAGCUCUGUGGGGCGAGACGAAUAAGUGCAGCCUAAUACGUUGCAUGAUGACGGUAUCGCCUUAGCAAGCACCGGCUAACUCUGUGCCAGCAGCCGCAGUAA